AUGCCCGAUCCUCGUAGGUGGCCCAAACACCAACUUGAUGAUCCUACGGAGGUUGUCGUGGUGCCCCUCGACAUGCUACCACUACCCGUCCACCUGUCCUUCAUGCACGGCCACUACUGGGCGGGCAUGAAGGCCAACUGGAUCGUCCUCAUCCACCAAUCCGACAGUCCAUGGCGUCUCAUGGAUAUCUACGCCCAGCGAGAGAUCACCCUUCCAUCAUUGGAUACCGCCGCCAUCGAGCCUCGCGGCCCGCCGGACACUCCUACCUACUACGCACGAGACGCCAGUAACAAAUGCGCCGGCCUUCAUGAUUCCAGGACCUGGAAUCAUACCAGCCGAUGGUCGAAGAAGGAUUGGUCGGUGCUGCCGGCUGGCGUCAAGUUUGAUCCCACGGAUCAGGAGUUGAUCGAGCACCUUGAGGCCAAAGUGAGUGCUGACAACACGAGAUCUCAUCCUCUCAUCAAUUUGUUCAUACCAACCAUCGACAGCGAGCACGGCAUAUGCUACACCCAACCUGAGAAACUUCCAGGUAUCACACUGAGUGGCCUCAGGAAGCAUUUCUUCCAUCGCUUCCAUCGCAAUUCCAGGGCGUUCAAAAGGGGCACGUGGAUGCGUCGCAAGAUACAGUCGAAGUGCAGCAUGCACGCGAUGUGGCACAAGACCGGCAAUAGCUUGCCGGUGAUGGUCAACGGCCGGCAGACGGGUAGCAAAAAGGUUCUCGUGCUGCACUCCACCAAGAACUUCGACCAGCAGAGGACCAACUAG
rnacentral:rRNA from 1 species